rnacentral:lncRNA from 1 species
UGAAGUAGCCUGAUUGAAGGAGGAAUGAUGGUAGAUUGUAAUCAUGUACAGAAAUCAAUAUGAACUUAGGAAUCCCUGCAAGAAAAACAAAAGUAUUCAUGUAAUUCACAUUGAACAACUAUAAACCCUAGACUUGGCAUGAAUGAUAUGGAGAAAUAAGGGAACAAUAACAGAAGUUUUCAUGUACUUCACAUUGAACAACUAUAAACCCUAGGGUUGGCAUGAUAUGGAGAAAAAAGGGAACAAUGAGAAGGGAUGAAGUAAUCCGCAAAAAGAUUAGUUACAUCUGCCAUAAAAGUUGCUCCUGAACACAUCAAAGAGGCACCAUACUGUUAAUGGCAAAACCAUUAACAAAUUAUGCACACAAAAUUAGGUGUAAGAUAAAGUGGCAAAGCGAUGAAGUGGCAAAACCUUGAGUAGGAGAGAUGAUAAUAACCCCAUCCCAAACCCUAGGGUGAUGGGACCAUUCACCUUAAGAUUACUUCUUUCACAUCCACCCUAAGUCUCUUAAGGCACUAACAAGAAUUUACUCAUCUCCAUUACAUGAAUUUGCUUUCCGAUAAGGACUCUAAACAAUGCCCUUCUGUCAGUCCAUAUCAUGAAAUACCAGAGUAAUCAACCCCAAGAUGUUUCUCAAAAGGGACAACAAAUCGAAGUAAAAUAGCUUUAUUUUUUUAAGAUUUCUUUGAAAUUAGCACCAACAUAGGUGAAUCCAUUAUGAAAGAUUGAUAUACCAAUAUAAGAGUACGAAAGAAACUCAAAACUCAAAGGAUCAAAUACAUUUCCAACUUAACCUCUCUAUGUAAUAGCAGCAGACCAAAUUGCAAAGGUGACACCGUAAAAAACUCUACUUUCUUUUCCUAUUUUGACAUCCUUAUUUUUGCAAAACUCAUGUUGCCCUUUUUCCCCUCUACAUCUGCAUCAGUGUGCAGUUAUGUAAGAUAAGAAAAAAUUUGAAUAUUUACAGAAAAGGUCUAUUUGGUUUGAUCAUGUUUUAUGUAACCAAAUGCAUCGUCAUACAUGUGAAACAUAAUCAUUGGAGGUGUUAACGGGGGACAAAGAAGACCUAAAAUCACAUGAAAAAGGUUGUCUCAAAAGACCUAAAACCUCUUGAAAUCAAUGUAGACUUAGUGAAAAAUAGAGCAAGAUGGAAGCAUAAGAUCCAUAUAGGAGAUACUAACUAGCAGGGACUGAUGCUUAGUCAUGUUGAUAAGCUUACAUUAGGUCCAAUUUUUGCUGGGAGUCUUUCAGUCUUUUUGGACAUUUGUACAUCAACACAAAAUAUAGAUAACACCUGUGUUAAGUAAUUCCAAAGUAUUGAAUAGGGAGGUCUCAUAUAGCCAACCCCAACUAGCUUAAGAUCGAGGCAAAGUAAGUCAUUUGAUAGAUAAGGUAAGUUUUAUUAAUUGAGAAACCAGCACCCAGACAGUGCAACAACAACAACAACUACCCAGUAUAGUCCCACAAAGUGGGGUCUGGGGAGGG